rnacentral:rRNA from 1 species
GGGGAGGAGCCCAGAGCCUGAAUCAGUGUGUGUGUUAGUGGAAGCGUCUGGAAAGGCGCGCGAUACAGGGUGACAGCCCCGUACACAAAAAUGCACAUGCUGUGAGCUCGAUGAGUAGGGCGGGACACGUGGUAUCCUGUCUGAAUAUGGGGGGACCAUCCUCCAAGGCUAAAUACUCCUGACUGACCGAUAGUGAACCAGUACCGUGAGGGAAAGGCGAAAAGAACCCCGGCGAGGGGAGUGAAAAAGAACCUGAAACCGUGUACGUACAAGCAGUGGGAGCACGCUUAGGCGUGUGACUGCGUACCUUUUGUAUAAUGGGUCAGCGACUUAUAUUCUGUAGCAAGGUUAACCGAAUAGGGGAGCCGAAGGGAAACCGAGUCUUAACUGGGCGUUAAGUUGCAGGGUAUAGACCCGAAACCCGGUGAUCUAGCCAUGGGCAGGUUGAAGGUUGGGUAACACUAACUGGAGGACCGAACCGACUAAUGUUGAAAAAUUAGCGGAUGACUUGUGGCUGGGGGUGAAAGGCCAAUCAAACCGGGAGAUAGCUGGUUCUCCCCGAAAGCUAUUUAGGUAGCGCCUCGUGAAUUCAUCUCCGGGGGUAGAGCACUGUUUCGGCAAGGGGGUCAUCCCGACUUACCAACCCGAUGCAAACUGCGAAUACCGGAGAAUGUUAUCACGGGAGACACACGGCGGGUGCUAACGUCCGUCGUGAAGAGGGAAACAACCCAGACCGCCAGCUAAGGUCCCAAAGUCAUGGUUAAGUGGGAAACGAUGUGGGAAGGCCCAGACAGCCAGGAUGUUGGCUUAGAAGCAGCCAUCAUUUAAAGAAAGCGUAAUAGCUCACUGGUCGAGUCGGCCUGCGCGGAAGAUGUAACGGGGCUAAACCAUG